CAAGACCCUCCCUGAUUCUCUCAGUUGCUAGUGACUUCUCUGGGAAGAUUACUUUGAAUCUCAAUCGCUCUGUAUGAUAAAACUGAGGAUUAAAGAAGGUCACAGACUUGAUCAAAGUUACACUGGAAGAGUCUGAGGGAAGAAAAUUAGGUAUAGCAAUUGCUGCCCCCAUUUUAAAGAUAAAACCUGGUCUGUGGGAAAUCUCAUAGCUCUUCAGAAGAGAAGCCAAGUCCUUCAGCUCAGACCCGGUUGUUCUGUUCGUUAGAAUCAAGGAUGGCCUGAGGCCUAAAGUCAUUCCUUAUACUUUAUCUAGCUUUUGAUAUUCACGUCAGAAAUGAAAAACAGAAAAAUGGAUGUCAAUUGAUGGGAAAAGUCUGCAACAACAACAAUAAAAUCUUCCCUUAGUGGCAUUAAGAAAUGUAAGAACAAUCUACCAUCUACUGGUAAGAGUCAAUCAGCCAUCCAUCAACUUGAUGAGAAAAAACAGUUGCAAAAAUAUCAAAAUCCAAGCAACCUCUCAAUGAUCCUUUCCUCAAGAUGAUACGCUAAUAAACACCAAUAUCUCUAUUUCUUAAGAUGUUACAGACAUCUACAUUCUAACAUUCCUGUGUCCCUAACAUUAGCUCAGAAUGAAACCAUAUGCCACAAACUAGGAGCAUUUUAAGCAGUAGUCAUGUUCCACAGAAUAGGACUUGUUUAAAAUGUGUUAUCCUGAAUAUCCCAGCUCCCUGAAGCCAGAGCUAAAUAUCUUCAUUAGCUCAUUAGUAAUGAGAUAUUUCCAGCAUUUGGACGAUUUAUUGCAGCUUGUCAGAGGGGCAGAUUUUGCUUCUCCCCACAACGUACAAUCGGAUUCCAUGCCUUCUGUCAUCAUAUGCUUAAAAAUAAAUGUUUACAUG